GGGCCUGUUGCACAAAAGUAGAAUUAAGACAUCCGGGAUAAAUGACUCAGCUGAGCUCAAUGAAGCCAAAACAUGUGCGUCCAGGCUUAAUUGGUUGCACAAAGACCAAGCCAGGAUGAGCAGACACGGAUUCAUUAAGCCAGGUGAAACCAAUCCUGGAUAGGUGCGCGCUCACGGCUCACUCAAAUAGACCCCGCCACAGAUCACAGAUUAACUGAUUUACCAUGGCAACUAGAGCCGCGUACUUUUCCCCGUCGGAAGCACAAAUCCUCAUGGAGGCAUACGAGGAGGUAAAAUAUAUAAUUAAGAAGAAAGGCAACACCGCCACAGUGAUAAAGCAAAGAGAAAAAGCGUGGCAAAGUAUUGCAGACCGCCUGAAUGCAUUAAACAUGAACGGGCCAAAACGGACAUGGCAGCAGGUCAAAAUCAAAUACAAGAACAUUCUGCAGAAUGCAGUGAAAAAGAAUACCCACAGACAAGGCACGGGUGGUGGGUCACCAAAGGCUGACCUUACCCCAGCAGAGGACAUGGCCUUGGAGCUAAAUAAAGGCAGGCCCGUCUUAGAGGGGAUCCCUGGGGGGAAAGAGACGAGCAUAGGUUCCUCCCAAGAUGCCACCCGCUUCAUUCAAGUGCCUGGCAGCACUGUGUUCCUGUUAGAGCCACCAGCACAAGCACCAGACGAUGCUGAUCCAGGUGAAGGCCCCAGUGCAGCAGCAACAGCACAUGAUGGAGACGAUGAUGAGGAGGAGACCAUCUCUCUGGAUUCCAGAAGGC